AAAUUAUUAAGGCAUAGUCUUUGAACUGAAUCUCACAGUCUAAUGGGAGACACAGAUAAGUAAGCAAACAGGGAUAAUAGCAAGCAAAAGCAAAGUGGAGGUGACCCAGGCAAAAACUUCAAAUUCAGAUAGAACAUAGAUCCCAGAUUCUAUGAAUCAGUUUUCCUAUAUGAAAAAAUGGGACUAAAAAUACCUUCUUAGCAUGGUUGGGAAUCUGCAACUUUGGAAUUUGAAAGGAAAAGAAAAAGGUUUCUGUAAGGAUUAAAUAAGGUAUAUACCAAGGUUUUCAUCACAGAGUAAGUGCUGAACAACAGUGAUGCAUUCAAACAAUGAUACAUCUGAAGGUGGCAGUGUGUCUGAGGUACUAACUACACCACGUAGCAUUUCUGGGCUGCUUGGUGGCUGACCGUUAUUUCCUGACACGUCUCACACAAUGCUGACUUGAGUCAGCUCUGGGCAGUGUUAAUGUUCCCAGUAGACUGAACUCCUAAGAAUUGAAUUUAGAUCAGAGAAUAGAAAUCAUUUUAUUAAAGGGCAUAGAUUUUUUUUAUAUAGUCUUUCUGUAGUGUAGAGAAAACUCUAGAGCCUCCUUUCAUCUCCUUGGAACGAAGAAAGAUUGCAAAUCUCUCUUGUUGGACUGACGAUACCUGUAAAGAACUGACUAACCUGUCUGCCUCUGAAUUUGCUUGGCUUUGGACAUCUCUACUGCUCAAAGCAGAAACUGAGGCUCCUAGUGUCUGGGAACCAAAGCAGUGUGGCCCAGCAUGUGACACCAACCCCAGGACCUUGUACACCAAGGAAAUAGGGGAAGAAACCAGGUGCUGAGACAGAGGAUCAGAUCUGCUUCUCUGUGGCCUUAGGGUAGAGUUAACCCCUCAGGUCUACUCUGUAGGUUCCCAUUCAUUCCUCAUGCAUAGCAGCAGAAGGGACACUGACAAGCACAUCAGAGAGGGAAUUGCUUGAAAUAGAUUCUGGGCGGGAAGACCCAGUAUUUUUUUUCUGCAAAUUGUCCAGGUAAGACUGACUUAUGGGCUAAGCCUGUUUCCCUCGGCUUCUAUGACUCGGAGUCAUUUCAUUUCUCUC
rnacentral:lncRNA from 1 species